UACGGAGGGUGCAAGCGUUGUUCGGAAUUACUGGGCGUAAAGGGCGUGUAGGCGGCUUGGCAAGUCAGAUGUGAAAGCCCCGGGCUUAACCCGGGAAGUGCAUUUGAAACUGCCUUUCUUGAGUAUGGGAGAGGAGAGUGGAAUUCCCAGUGUAGAGGUGAAAUUCGUAGAUAUUGGGAGGAACACCCGUGGCGAAGGCGACUCUCUGGACCAAUACUGACGCUGAGACGCGAAAGCGUGGGGAGCAAACAGG
rnacentral:rRNA from 1 species